rnacentral:rRNA from 1 species
UACGUAGGGGGCAAGCGUUAGGCGGAAUCACUGGGCUUAAAGCGUGUGUAGGCGGAUAUCUAAGUACCUUGUGAAAUCCCACGGCUCAACCGUGGAACUGCUUGGUAUACUGGGUGUCUUGAGCCAUCUAGGGGCUACCGGAACAAAUGGUGGAGCGGUGAAAUGCGUAGAUAUCAUGAGGAAGACCAGUGGCGAAGGCGGGUCUCUGGACAGUUCCUGACACUGAGGCACGAAGGCCAGGGGAGCAAACGGG